UAAGUUAUGUGAUGUUUCUAAAUUGCACAAUGAGCUAACUUGUAUAUGUUAUUUCUUUUAAGCAUUAAAAAGUGAUAUGCAGCCAGUGGAAUUAUCAAAUGAUCAACUAGUGUUUCAAAAGAAGACAAAAUUGACAAAUAAAUAAUACUGGCUGUAGAAAAAAGGCCUGCAUUAUAUAACACUAAAAAUGUGUCAGUAUAAGACCGAAAUCGUCUCAAGAAGACUACUCUUUGGAUACAAGUAGCCGAAGAACUAAGUCUAGAUUUGACUGAAGUAAAACAACGUUAGGAAUAUUUAAGAAAUAGAUACAUCAUAACUAGAAGUAAAGUUUUAGCUUAUAAACCCAGUGGAUCUGCAGCAAAACCACAAAAUGAAUGAUUCUUUCAAGUUUUACUACUGCAUGCAGUCCUUGAAUGACUCAACAGAUCCAGUACGCCCCAUUACAUCUUUGCAAGAAGUGGAAAAAUCAAGAUCUUCUCCACUAUCAAAAAAAAUCAAGAUCUAAAGAUCGACCAUGAUUUUUAUAAAAAACCAGCCUAACAUGCUAAGAAAAAUGACCAUGAAGAUUUUGGUAAUAAAGUAAUGGAUAUACUGAAAGAGAAACCAGCCUUUGGAUAAAGUUGACGGGUUUUUGAUUCAAGUUGGAGAGUGCAUGAGGAAAAUACCUCAGAGUGAGCGAUUGCCAGUUCAAAUGCUAAUUAUAGGAUUCUUAAAUAAGAGCCCUGUUGAAAAUAUAUACCUGGAUAUCCAGGUGGAUUUUCCAUAUGCACAGAGAGGUCCAGUUGAGGGUCCAGUCCAGUAUUAUUAUAAAAAUCAUGAUAUAGUAGGUUAAUUUUCGGUUAUUCUCUAUAGGAAUCCGUUUAUGUUACAUUAUGAGAUAUAAAUGUAAGUGUCGAAAUGGCUAAGUCGUCAUUCGUCUACUAUUCAAAAAGUCUCGGGUUCGACCCCAGGUUUUAGCGAUAUGUUUUUUUACAAUUAUUUAUUACAACUCUGAUUGAACCAUGAAAUCCAGCACUGAAUUCAGUCUGAAAUCAAUGCUGAAUCCACGUUGCGUUUUCGGACAAAUUCAAUGUUGAUUCAACGUUGAUUCAACGUGGAUUCAAUACUGAAUCAACGCCGAUUUUAGACUGAAAUCAAUAUUGAAAUCAGCAUUGAAUCAACGUUGAUCGUUUUGACGGGGAAAUUAGAUUAAGCUUAUUUUGACCGUCAAGUACUCAAAUACUUAGAAAAACUAUUUAGUGUCCUAAAUGAUAGGCUGUGAUUACUUAAUCAGAAGAAAGUUACUUUUUAUUUGAGAUAAAAGUUUUUUGUUUAAGAUUAUAAAUGUUUUAUAGUUUAAAAAAAUGUUAACUGAUACAUUCAUAAAACUAGUUAUAAGAUAUAAAGUUAAUCGGUCCAAAUGCAUGUACCAUUGUACCUGCUAUGAUUAUGUUUGUUGACCCGCU